rnacentral:rRNA from 1 species
ACAGCAGCCGCCGCGGUAAUACGGAGGGUGCAAGCGUUAAUCGGAAUUACUGGGCGUAAAGCGCACGCAGGCGGUCUGUCAAGUCAGAUGUGAAAUCCCCGGGCUUAACCUGGGAACUGCAUUUGAAACUGGCAGGCUAGAGUCUUGUAGAGGGGGGUAGAAUUCCAGGUGUAGCGGUGAAAUGCGUAGAGAUCUGGAGGAAUACCGGUGGCGAAGGCGGCCCCCUGGACAAAGACUGACGCUCAGGUGCGAAAGCGUGGGGAGCAAACAGGAUUAGAUACCCCAGUAGUCCCUGUCUCUUAUAA